AUGUGCACCGUAGUGGACCCUCGCAUUGUCCGGAGAUACCUACUCAGGCGGCAGCUCGGGCAGGGGGCCUAUGGCAUUGUGUGGAAGGCAGUGGACCGGAGGACUGGUGAGGUCGUGGCCAUCAAGAAAAUCUUUGAUGCUUUUAGGGAUAAGACAGAUGCCCAGAGAACAUUCCGGGAAAUCACGCUCCUCCAGGAGUUUGGGGACCAUCCCAACAUCAUCAGCCUCCUUGACGUGAUCCGGGCAGAGAACGACAGGGACAUUUACCUGGUGUUUGAGUUUAUGGACACUGACCUGAACGCAGUCAUCCGGAAGGGCGGCCUGCUGCAGGACGUCCACGUGCGCUCCAUCUUCUACCAGCUCCUGCGGGCCACCCGGUUCCUCCACUCGGGGCACGUUGUGCACCGGGACCAGAAGCCGUCCAAUGUGCUCCUGGAUGCCAACUGCACAGUGAAGCUGUGUGACUUUGGCCUGGCCCGCUCCCUGGGCGACCUCCCCGAGGGGCCUGAGGACCAGGCCGUGACAGAGUACGUGGCCACACGCUGGUACCGAGCACCGGAGGUGCUGCUCUCUUCGCACCGAUACACCCUUGGGGUGGACAUGUGGAGUCUGGGCUGUAUCCUGGGGGAGAUGCUGCGGGGGAGACCCCUGUUCCCCGGCACGUCCACCCUCCACCAGCUGGAGCUGAUCCUGGAGACCAUCCCACCGCCAUCUGAGGAGGGGGCCCAGACUGCCUGCAGGUCAGGCACAGGGGCAUCUACCUAG
rnacentral:misc_RNA from 1 species